rnacentral:rRNA from 1 species
GACGAACGCUGGCGGCGUGCUUAACACAUGCAAGUCGAACGCAGUGGCGAACGGGUGAGUAACGCGUAAUCAACCUGCCCUUCAGCGGGGGACAACAGUUGGACACGACUGCUAAUACCGCAUACUGAAGGAGGGGAUUGCGUCUGAUUAGCUAGUUGUAGGGGUAACGGCCCACCAAGGCGAUGAUCAGUAGCCGGGCUGGGGAGAUGAACGGCCAACUUGGGGAGUGGGAACGGCCCAGACUCCUAAGGGAGGCAGCAGUGGGGAAUCUUCCGCAAUGGACGAAAGUCUGACGGAGCAACGCCGCGUGAGGGAUGACGGCCUUCGGGUUGUAAAGCUCUGUUAAUCGGGACGCGGUACCGGAAUAGAAAGCCACGGCUAACUACGUGCCAGCAGCCGCGGUAAUUC